rnacentral:rRNA from 1 species
UGGGGAAUUUUGGACAAUGGGCGCAAGCCUGAUCCAGCCAUGCCGCGUGCGGGAAGAAGGCCUUCGGGUUGUAAACCGCUUUUGUCAGGGAAGAAAUCUUCUGAGUUAAUACCUCGGGAGGAUGACGGUACCUGAAGAAUAAGCACCGGCUAACUACGUGCCAGCAGCCGCGGUAAUACGUAGGGUGCAAGCGUUAAUCGGAAUUACUGGGCGUAAAGCGUGCGCAGGCGGUUUUGUAAGACAGAGGUGAAAUCCCCGGGCUCAACCUGGGAACUGCCUUUGUGACUGCAAGGCUUGAGUGCGGCAGAGGGGGAUGGAAUUCCGCGUGUAGCAGUGAAAUGCGUAGAUAUGCGGAGGGACACCGAUGGCGAAGGCAAUCCCCUGGGCCUGCACUGACGCUCAUGCACGAAAGCGUGGGGAGCAAACAGGAUUAGAUACCCUGGUAGUCCACGCCCUAAACGAUGUCAACUGGUUGUUGGGAAGGUUCCUUCUCAGUAACGUAGCUAACGCGUAAAGUUGACCGCCUGGGGAGU